rnacentral:rRNA from 1 species
UACGAAGGGGGCUAGCGUUGUUCGGAUUUACUGGGCGUAAAGCGCACGUAGGCGGUUUGUUAAGUCAGGGGUGAAAUCCCACAGCUCAACUGUGGAACUGCCUUUGAUACUGGCAAGCUAGAGUCCGGAAGAGGUAAGUGGAACAUCCUAGUGUAGAGGUAGAAUUCGUAGAUAUUAGGAAGAACACCAGUGGCGAAGGCGGCUUACUGGUCCGGAACUGACGCUGAGGUGCGAAAGCGUGGGGAGCAAACAGG